UACGAAGGGGGCUAGCGUUGCUCGGAAUCACUGGGCGUAAAGCGCACGUAGGCGGAUUGCUAAGUCAGGGGUGAAAUCCUGGAGCUCAACUCCAGAACUGCCUUUGAUACUGGCGACCUUGAGUCCGGGAGAGGUGAGUGGAACUGCGAGUGUAGAGGUGAAAUUCGUAGAUAUUCGCAAGAACACCAGUGGCGAAGGCGGCUCACUGGCCCGGUACUGACGCUGAGGUGCGAAAACAUGGGGAGCGAACAGG
rnacentral:rRNA from 1 species